UACGUAGGGUGCAAGCGUUGUCCGGAAUUAUUGGGCGUAAAGAGCUCGUAGGCGGUCUGUUACGUCGGCUGUGAAAACCUGGGGCUCAACCCCGGGCCUGCAGCCGAUACGGGCAGACUAGAAUUCGGUAGGGGAGAAUGGAAUUCCUGGUGUAGCGGUGAAAUGCGCAGAUAUCAGGAAGAGCACCCGUGGCUAAGGCGGUUCUCUAGUACGGUACUGACGCUGAGACGCGAAAGCGUGGGGAGCGAACAGG
rnacentral:rRNA from 1 species